AUGCCACCGUUGGUGCCCCCCGCUGCGCCGGUGCUCCCUUCGAACCAAUCGCCCGAGGACGCCGGCGGGCCGCUCGAGAUGCUCGUCCUUGAGCAGGACCAGCGGCUGCCCGGCGCCGCCCUGCUCCGCGUUACGUCCAUGCCGGAGCUGGUCUACCACGAGAACGACUACUCCGCUUGGCCGUCCGGCCUCAGCGGCGGCAGUGGCAGCCGAUCCGAAGGCGACAUGACCUCGCAUUAUGGCGGCAAAUGCGACUGCUUCUUCGAUGGCGUGAAGCCUGCGAAGAGGAUGGCCGCGAGCUUGGUGGUGGCAGAGGAGGUGUCCGGCCUGUUCGGCGGCGAAGAAUUGGUGGCCGUGUGGCCGGACAAGCCGCCGGAGACGAUCACGAAAGACGACUUCAACCUCCCGAUGGAGAUGCAGCACCUCAUGCCCCCCGUGCCGCUCUCGGCAGACGAACACGGCUUGAAUUAA
rnacentral:rRNA from 1 species